AUAGCCAUGCUUGCUCCUCCUCGGCCGCGGCUCGCUGGCCACCAUCCCGUGGGCUGUGCCGGCUGGAAGCACCGAGCAUCUCCCGCCGUGCCGUGGCGUGCGCCGGGCCGCGAGGGAAGCGGUGGAGCCGUGGAAGAAGGGAACCAGCCCCCGGCGAUGCUGCGUGCCCGGGGAAAGAGAAGCUCAGGCUGCGGGAAAGUGGGAAUCCGCCUGCCGUGGCACUGUGGGGAGAGGGGAUGGUGCCGGAUUCACGGGGAUGACAAAGUUUAGGGAGGAUGAUGAAAUCCCAAGGGAAGGCAGGGAGGGUUUUCCAUAGCAGGUGUGGCAGCGUGGCCGAAGGGGGGACAGGGGGUGCACGAGGUGCAGCCGGGAGGGAACAGUUUGGGAGAACUGCACGGAGGGGAGCGACCGUUGCAGGGCUGUUUGGCAUGGGAAUGCUUUCACCAGGGAACUCCUGAAAGCAUGGAGUAGCUGUAAUGCUUUUCCUGCCUGGCGGGGGGCACGGGCAUCGCCCGGCUCUCGGGGAGCCCUGGGCCGGCAAGUACGUGGUGGGAGCUCCCACCUGGCUCCGUACGGACCCGGAGGUCUCUCUGCCGCCGGGACAGCGUGUGGCCCUUGUAGCACCACGAGCACAGCCACAGGCAUCACGCUGGCUUUUCCAGUUUCGCUCUCUACCUCAUACAUGGCUGCUGCAGCGACGCACCUCAAAGUUUGGUUCUAAAAACAUGAAAACAGAGAGUCGAGCAGCGUUCAGCCAUCCCUGCUGAGUCCUGCUAACGAGGCUCCUUCCCUUUGAGUAGCUUCUUGCUGCAUCUCCAUUGAUUGUCGUAGUGCCUUUCUGCGGUGAUUCAGCCGAGCUGGCUGGUAAUUUCCUGCAUCCUAUUUUCCUCUUUUGAAAAGUGGAGCGAUCUUUCAGAUGUGCUAAUUAUGAGAAGGCGACGACGCUCUCCGCAGCAGCAGCAGCGCUCCUGCUAAGCCCCAGGGCAGGCGUGCAUGGUGGCCCUGGCACGGCGCAGGCAGGGCAUCGCUCCCACCGCUGCCCGAGAGCGCGGGAGGGAGGGAGGGAUGCAUGGCAGCAGGCUCGCGUGGUAGCAGAGACGAUGACUGUGGGCAGCCAUCUGGCAAGAGCUUUCCCUUUCCCUCUGCCUAGCAAAUGGGUUGUCUGUCCCCGCAGCACCUUCCACCCGCGUUUUGCUGCAGGUCAGGGACGCGCUUGUCCGGCGGGUGUCAGGCAGAGGGAUGCGAUGGGAUGCUCUUCGGAGGAUGCUGAACCAUCCCACAGUGUGAGCCGGCAUGCUUCCCUGAUCAGUUUGAGAGGGAAGUUGAGACUGCAAAGAGAGAAAUCAGAGAAGACACAAAGUUGGGAAGCAGCUGAAGGGAAACUGCCUGCAGGGAGCACAUUCUCAGUAAUGUUGUUGCAGCUUAUUUACACACUCGAGGGCUCUUCAGCCCCAUGGAGCUGUGAAAUUCAAAGCCCGCCGCGUCCCUCGGGGAGCAGAGCACAGACAGAAAGGGGUUCCUCUGAAGCUGAAAUAUUUGACAACAUUUUCUAUUCUUAGUGAUGCAAGCACACGCUCGCCUAGCAAAAUCACAGCACGGUGUGUCAGCAGGCAGGCAGGGGCUGGGGGAAAGCGCUUUGAAGGGCUCGGGUGAGGAGGGUGCAUGGGUGCAUGUGCCUGCCGUGGGGCAGCCUCUCGCCCAGCCCAACUCGUCCACUCUAUAACCGUGGGAGAUGCAGACAGCAGAAAAGCAAAUUAUGAUUUUAUUGCUCAUGUCCCACUACGGGUCCUAACGCACAGGGGGCUUCUGCAAGGCUAAUGGGAUAAAAUGGGUAGAGUUUAGAUGGUCCUUCCGGGGCUCCCGGGUUCACGGAGGGGAGCUGCAUCCCCCUGCCCUGCCCGGCUUCCCGAGCAGGCAGCACAGCUAAUGGCACCUGUGCCAACAGGCACUUCAUUAACUAUUUUGUGGCGGAGCACGGUGGAGGAAACAGCUCCUCUCUGUACGAGUUGUGCCGCGAGGUGGGUUCAACA